CUUGCGGUCAAAUCACGAUGAAAACACCUUUCGAUCACUGAAGUUAAGCAUCGUAGAGCCAGGUCAGUACUCAGAUGGGGGACCGCUUGGGCACAGCUGGUACUGUAAG